rnacentral:lncRNA from 1 species
UGCCCUGGGAGCUGUCAUUGCCCUCCUGCUCUGGGGACAGCUUUUUGCAGUGGACUCAGGCAAUGAUGUCACGGAUAUCGCAGAUGACGGCUGCCCGAAGCCCCCCGAGAUUGCACAUGGCUAUGUGGAGCACUCGGUUCGCUACCAGUGUAAGAACUACUACAAACUGCGCACAGAAGGAGAUGGAGUAUACACCUUAAAUGAUAAGAAGCAGUGGAUAAAUAAGGCUGUUGGAGAUAAACUUCCUGAAUGUGAAGCAGAUGACGGCUGCCCGAAGCCCCCCGAGAUUGCACAUGGCUAUGUGGAGCACUCGGUUCGCUACCAGUGUAAGAACUACUACAAACUGCGCACAGAAGGAGAUGGAGUGUACACCUUAAACAAUGAGAAGCAGUGGAUAAAUAAGGCUGUUGGAGAUAAACUUCCUGAAUGUGAAGCAGGUGGGUGCUGAGCACUUAAGAGAGCAGGCAGGCGUCCAGCGGGGAACGUCCUAGAGGCACAGCCUUCCAGUGCGGCUUCCUCUGAGCACACAAGAGCCAGGAGGAGGGAUGUGGGAGAACCGCAGCUGGCCAGGGAGAGACUUAAGCAGUUAGGUGAUGACUCCCUAAGGGUCACCAAGGGUCUUGUUCAUUAGGGCCUGAAGGGCACUGGCUGAAUCCAUUGUCUACAUCGCCCACAGAUUAGGAGAGCCUGUGCAUACAGAGAGCCUGCUAGAGAGCCCUGGGUCUAAGGAGAAGCAAGCUCCAGGGAGAACAAGUCAAGGAAUGACAUAAAAUCUUAAUCCAUGGAAGCCUAGCAGGAGGCUGGACAUGGGCUGGAACUCCUGCUUCUCGUUAUUAGGAGGAGCUGUUGCUCUCUCCUUUCAUUCUCAGAACAAGAGGCAAAGGCCCAGCCUCUUCUGCUCUUACUGGUGUGGAAAUGCCAACCUGCCUCGUAUUAACUGCACCAUCUACAAAAUCUGAGCUCCAGCCAGUGCUGCUCUAGAUUCAUCUUUCUUUAGAGAGAAUGAAUUAUUGUAGCCCCUAGCCCUUUCAAUGAAUUUCAGGGAAUUGUGGAAAUUCCUUUAUUGG